AACCCCUGAAUGUAAAAACGGCAAAUCAAGGCGAUUUCUUGUUUUUUCAUUUUUUUCACAAAACGAAAAAUGAAAAUGGUGCCGUGUUCUCAUGUUUCUAUUUUCAAUAUUUAAUCAAAAAACGAAUGAACGCAACGUACACGGACCGUUUGGAGCAUCUUAAGGCUUCUGUGAGCGUGUAUGGCGUCUGGCUUCAGAACCUCACUGUGACUUCAGAUAAGAACACAGAUUAAAUUGUAAGAAGGGUUGCUUAUAAAAGCAUACAGUACAUCUGAAACUGCUGAGACUGAUCAGCUGCUAUAAAAGACAAAAUGAAAUCUGAGUGCAGAGACAAGCAAAGGAAUACUGCAAGACACUACAGACUAGGCUGUGCCCAGGUCUCCGGAACCUGCGACGACGCUCCGCUCCAUUGGACCUUAGUCUGCGGCUUCGGAUCCACCAGCUCUGUCUCCAUCGGUCGGCCCCCAGAUGUCGGCAGCCACACCAUCCACAUCUUGGCUCCUCCCUCCCUCGACUCCGCCGUGUGUUGUCAGCACUGGGAUGCUCUGGGUCUGUGCCAUGUGCCAAACACCAUCUAAGCCGCCAGGGCAUCAUCAUCAUCCUCCCAUCACCAUCACCAUCCCUACACCAUCUCCUCGUCCACCUCCAAAACCCUCCAUCCCUCCCUAUUCUGUUGCAUGAACUUCAUCAUCUUCAGUCUUUGCACACACAUCUAUUCACUUUACAUGUGUUUUUUUUUUCUUCAGAAAAUUGCAUUGUAAUUUUUAUUUAUUCAUUGAUGUAAAAUUCUUUACUUUUCAGUAAUACAGGUAUAACUGACAUGUUCUACAAAUGGAUAAGAUGGCUCUUCCAUAACAUUUCAGUCUUUUUUUUCAUUUGUUUUUUGUAUGUUUUAAAAUGUACUUGAGUAUGUUUGUAGUAAUACAAAAAUACUAUUAACAUACUUGUAU